AACACAUGCAAGUCGAGGGGUAACAGAAAAAAGCUUGCUUUUUUGCUGACGACCGGCGCACGGGUGCGUAACGCGUAUAGAACCUACCUUUUACAGAGGGAUAGCCUUUAGAAAUGAAGAUUAAUACCUCAUAGUAUUGAGAAUUGGCAUCGAUUUUUAAUUAAAGAUUUAUUGGUAAAAGAUGGCUAUGCGUCCUAUUAGCUAGAUGGUAAGGUAACGGCUUACCAUGGCAACGAUAGGUAGGGGUCCUGAGAGGGAGAUCCCCCACACUGGUACUGAGACACGGACCAGACUCCUACGGGAGGCAGCAGUGAGGAAUAUUGGUCAAUGGAGGCAACUCUGAACCAGCCAUGCCGCGUGCAGGAAGACUGCCCUAUGGGUUGUAAACUGCUUUUAUACGGGAAGAAACAGUCCUACGUGUAGGACCUUGACGGUACCGUAAGAAUAAGCACCGACUAACUCCGUGCCAGCAGCCGCGGUAAUACGGAGGGUGCAAGCGUUAUCCGGAAUCAUUGGGUUUAAAGGGUCCGCAGGCGGUCAAUUAAGUCAGAGGUGAAAUCCCGUAGCUUAACUAUGGAACUGCCUUUGAUACUGGUUGACUUGAGUUAUACGGAAGUAGAUAGAAUGUGUAGUGUAGCGGUGAAAUGCAUAGAUAUUACACAGAAUACCGAUUGCGAAGGCAGUCUACUACGUAUAUACUGACGCUCAUGGACGAAAGCGUGGGGAGCGAACAGGAUUAGAUACCCUGGUAGUCCACGCCGUAAACGAUGGACACUAGUUGUUGGGCAUUAGCUCAGUGACUAAGCGAAAGUGAUAAGUGUCCCACCUGGGGGAGUACGAUCGCAGAUUGAAACUCAAAGGAAUUGACGGGGCCCGCACAAGCGGUGGAGCAUGUGUUUACUCGAUGAUACGCGAGAACUUACAGGCUAAUGUAGUCUGACAGCUUAGAGAUAGAGUUUUCUCGACAGAUUACAAGUGCUGCAUGCUGC
rnacentral:rRNA from 1 species